UUUAGCCAAAGAUGAAAAACCCAUUUUCAACACUGCAUUUUGCGAUCAGAAUGUGUCUCGGUCUCCUUUUUCUCAAACAAAGCAAUUUUCAGUUGGAGCAAACGAUACUUUUAGUGAUCCGAUCCCUGUUGUGGCUACUGCUAGGUCACCGCUAGAUAGCUCUCCUACAAUUGAUGCAGGUUCUUCAAUUAGAAAGCCGAUCAGUUUGUGGCCAGGUAUGUACCAUUCGCCUGUGACAAAUGCAUUGUGGGAAGCAAGAUCAAGUAUUUUUGAGAGGUUUUCAG
rnacentral:misc_RNA from 1 species